UUGAAUUGUUUGUUUGAAUUGGCUUAAAACCCCAAUUCAGCAUCCAUAUCCAUAACACCUGUGCACUGUUGGAUGACCUAGACUCUUGUAGUCUUGGAAGUCCACUUUUACACCAAACAAUUUGUAACAAAUGUAGUCUUAUUAUAACAUAAUA
rnacentral:misc_RNA from 1 species